AGCUCUAUAGUACAGUGGUCAGCACGUCCAGUUUAAAUGAGGACCAGCAUGUGAGACUUGUUCCGAAUGAUGUCCGUUGGGAGCAUGCUCAGACCUUCGAAAGAAAGAGUGAUGUCUGGGCGACCUGCGUUCAAUUCGUGGUGGAGCCA
rnacentral:tRNA from 1 species